UACGUAGGGUGCGAGCGUUAAUCGGAAUUACUGGGCGUAAAGCGUGCGCAGGCGGUUCGCCAAGUCAGGUGUGAAAUCCCCGGGCUUAACCUAGGAAUUGCGCUUGAGACUGGAUAGCUUGGAGUGCGGCAGAGGGAGGUGGAAUUCCACGUGUAGCAGUGAAAUGCGUAGAGAUGUGGAGGAACACCGAUGGCGAAGGCAGCCUCCUGGGCCAGCACUGACGCUCAUGCACGAAAGCGUGGGGAGCAAACAGG
rnacentral:rRNA from 1 species